UCGCAUAAUGAUGAACUUCAUUACUAUUUUCUGGUACCUCUUAUUUUAGGCGGGUCUUCACGGGCUUCGCCGGUGCAUUCAACUUGACUUUCUGAAA
rfam:Pyrenophora teres f. teres 0-1 contig_001658, whole genome shotgun sequence.